UCGGUGGGCCGGUUUCUUAGC
rnacentral:siRNA from 1 species